rnacentral:rRNA from 1 species
CCUGGCUCAGAACGAACGCUGGCGGCAUGGAUUAGGCAUGCAAGUCGAACGAAGCAGCAAUGCUUAGUGGCGGAAGGGUGAGGAACGCGUGAGUAAUCUGCCCUCAAGUUGGGAAUAACAGCUGGAAACGGCUGCUAAUACCGAAUGUGGCUGCGAGAUCGCAUGAUUUUGCAGUUAAGAUUUAUUGCUUGAGGAUGAGCUCGCGUCCCAUUAGCUAGUUGGCGGGGCAACGGCCCACCAAGGCGAUGAUGGGUAGCUGGUCUGAGAGGAUGGUCAGCCACACUGGGACUGAGACACUGCCCAGACUCCUACGGGAGGCUGCAGUCGAGAAUCUUGGGCAAUGCGCGAAAGCGUGACCCAGCCAAUGCCGCGUGCGUGAUGAAGGUCUUCGGAUUGUAAAGCGCUGUCAACCGGGACGAACUUAUGACGGUACCGGUGAAGGAAGCCACGGCUAACUACGUGCCAGCAGCCGC